rnacentral:rRNA from 1 species
AUGCAGGUGACGAGACUAAAAGACGGUGCAUUUGUGCUGGGUUUCCAAGUGUGCCACGUCAUCGGCGACGCCGCCGGCGUGACCCAGUUCAUCAGGGCGAUAGCCGAGUUGGCACGCGGCGAAGCGCAUCCGUCCGUAUCGCCGGUGUGGGAGAGGGGGAUCUUCAAGGCGCGCGACCCACCCCGCGUCCGGCAUGACGUCUACCCAGCGUAUGAUCCAACGUCGCCAAGUAGAACCGUCCUCGGUGACCACGACGACGUUGACGACCCGAUGCUGUCGACGCCGACGGAAGAAAUGGUUGGGCAAUACCUGCGCUUUGGCCGGAAGGAGGUCGUCGCUCUGCGCAGGCAUCUGGAUACGGCGCAGCCAUGCACGACGUUCGAGCUCUUAACCGCUUUCCUGUGGAAAUGCCGCACGGCGGCGCUGGGCUACCGUCCCUGGCAACGCGUCCGGCUGGUGUUGCGUGUGGACGUGCGUGGCAACAGCACAUUAGUAGAAAAAGGGCCAUUUGUCCCGAAAUCUGGUAUGGACAGUUGA